UACAGAGGUCUCAAGCGUUGUUCGGAUUCAUUGGGCGUAAAGGGUGCGUAGGCGGCGCGGUAAGUCGGGUGUGAAAUCUCGGAGCUUAACUCCGAAACUGCAUUCGAUACUGCCGUGCUUGAGGACUGGAGAGGAGACUGGAAUUUACGGUGUAGCGGUGAAAUGCGUAGAUAUCGUAAGGAAGACCAGUGGCGAAGGCGGGUCUCUGGGCCGUAACUGACGCUGAGGAGCGAAAGCUAGGGGAGCGAACAGG
rnacentral:rRNA from 1 species